GACGAACGCUGGCGGCGUGCUUAACACAUGCAAGUCGAACGGAAAGGCCCUGCUUUUGUGGGGUGCUCGAGUGGCGAACGGGUGAGUAACACGUGAGUAACCUGCCCUUGACUUUGUGAUAACUUCAGGAAACUGGGGCUAAUACCGGAUAUGAGCUCCUGCUGCAUGUUGGGGGUUGGAAAGUUUCGGCGGUUGGGGAUGGACUCGCGGCUUAUCAGCUUGUUGGUGUGGUAGUGGCUUACCAAGGCUUUGACGGGUAGCCGGCCUGAGAGGGUGACCGGCCACAUUGGGACUGAGAUACGGCCCAGACUCCUACGGGAGGCAGCAGUGGGGAAUAUUGCACAAUGGGCGGAAGCCUGAUGCAGCAACGCCGCGUGCGGGAUGACGGCCUUCGGGUUGUAAACCGAUUUCGCAUGUGACGAAGCGUGAGUGACGGUAAUGGGUAAAGAAGCACCGGCUAACUACGUG
rnacentral:rRNA from 1 species